UAAGGAAUAUUGGUCAAUGGACGCAAGUCUGAACCAGCCAUGCCGCGUGAAGGAUGAAGGUCCUCUGGAUUGUAAACUUCUUUUAUCUGGGACGAAAACGGGAUUUUUAUCUCAAUUGACAGUACCAGAGGAAUAAGCACCGGCUAACUCCGUGCCAGCAGCCGCGGUAAUACGGAGGGUGCGAGCGUUAUCCGGAUUUACUGGGUUUAAAGGGUGCGUAGGUGGGCUUAUAAGUCAGUGGUGAAAUCUCCGAGCUUAACUUGGAAACUGCCGUUGAUACUAUAGGUCGUGAAUUAUCUGGAGGUAAGCGGAAUAUGUCAUGUAGCGGUGAAAUGCUUAGAUAUGACAUAGAACACCAAUUGCGAAGGCAGCUUACUACAUAUAAAUUGACGCUGAGGCACGAAAGCGUGGGGAUCAAACA
rnacentral:rRNA from 1 species